GACGAACGCUGGCGGCGUGCUUAACACAUGAAAGUCGAACGGAAAGGCCCUGCUUUUGUGGGGUGCUCGAGUGGCGAACGGGUGAGUAACACGUGAGUAACCUGCCCGUGACUUUGGGAUAACUUCAGGAAACUGGGGCUAAUACCGGAUAGGAGCUCCUGCUGCAUGGUGGGGGUUGGAAAGUUUCGGCGGUUGGGGAUGGACUGGCGGCUUAUCAGCUUGUUGGUGGGGUAGUGGCUUACCAAGGCUUUGACGGGUAGCCGGCCUGAGAGGGUGACCGGCCACAUUGGGACUGAGAGACGGCCCAGACUCCUACGGGAGGCAGCAGUGGGGAAUAUUGCACAAUGGGCGGAAGCCUGAUGCAGCAACGCCGCGUGCGGGAUGACGGCCUUCGGGUUGUAAACCGCUUUCGCCUGUGACGAAGCGUGAGUGACGGUAAUGGGUAAAGAAGCACCGGCUAACUACGUG
rnacentral:rRNA from 1 species